CGAACGGGUGAGUAACACGUGGGUAACCUGCCCAUCAGAAGGGGAUAACACUUGGAAACAGGUGCUAAUACCGUAUAACAAUCGAAACCGCAUGGUUUCGGUUUGAAAGGCGCUUUUGCGUCACUGAUGGAUGGACCCGCGGUGCAUUAGCUAGUUGGUGAGGUAACGGCUCACCAAGGCGACGAUGCAUAGCCGACCUGAGAGGGUGAUCGGCCACAUUGGGACUGAGACACGGCCCAA
rnacentral:rRNA from 1 species